CAUUGGCCGAGCCGCGGAGGGGAGAGGCCGUGACCCUUCCCCGCCGGCGGGCGACGCGCCAGUGGGCCGGUGGCCUGGGCCUGGCGCUCAGUUUAAAAGCUUAACCGGGACCGCUGGCGGGCUCCGGAAACGAAACGAAAUUCGCCCCGCUGGCCGCCCUCCGGGCCCCGCCAGUCCCUCCGCGCGCCGCACUCCCCGGAAUCGACCCUUCUCCCGCCAUUUGCCACCGGGCUCUCGCUGAGCCCGCCCUCCCAGGGCUCAGAGGCCUGCGGCCGCCGGAACCGAACGGGCGGCAUGGCGGCAGGCGUGGACUGCGGAGAAGGGGCUAGCGCCCGGCAGCACGUGUUCCUAGUCCCAGAGUAUUUAAAAGAUGCUUCAAAGAAGAUGAAAAGUGGGCUUAUGUUUGUAAAACUGGUUAACCCGUGUUCAGGGGAAGGAGCCAUUUACUUGUUCAAUGUGUGUCUACCACAGCUGUUUGAAAUAAAAGUUUUCAAGGAAAAAAACCAUUCUUGGUUUAUAAAUGAAUCAGUUCAAUCAGGAGGUCUUCUUCACUUUGCCACACCCAUGGACCCUCUGUUUCUGCUUCUCCACUACCUUAUAAAGGCUGAUAGAGAGGGAAAGUUUCAGCCCCUGGAACAGGUUGUGAUGGAUGACAUGUUUCCGAAUUGCAUCUUGUUGCUGAAACUUCCUGAACUUGAGAAGUUACUUCGACAUGUGACAGAGGAGAAAGAAAUAGACAAGAAGAAAUAUUACAAGUACAGCAAAGAGAAGACAUUAAAAUGGCUGGAAAAAAAGGUUAAUCAGACUAUGGCAGCGUUAAAAACCAAUAAUGUAAAUGUCGGUGCCCGGGUACAGUCUGCUGCAUUUUUCUCUGGUGACCCGGUUUCCAGUGACAAGGAAGAGGAUUAUAUUUGUUAUGCCCAUGGUCUGAUAUCGGAUUACAUCCCUAAAGAAUUGAGUGAUGACUUAUCUAAAUAUUUAAAGCUUCCAGAACCUGCAGCUUCAGUGCCAAGCCCUCCAUCAAAGUUAUAUCUCCUAACUGGCUAUUUUGUGCAGCUGUAGUUGUAAGGCAGGGUGCCAUAGGAGCCAGGAGAGUGACACCCAACCCAAAGGGCAAAAGGAUGAGAGAAAGGCUACUUAAACUCUUGAAUUAUCACCCCUGUUGAAGGUGGCAGCACAAAGACAGAAAAGGGACAAGUGACAACAGAUCCACGCAAGACUUGGCUGCUUCUCACGUGAUUUAAGACACUCCCAAAGGGCUAAACCUUUUUCUUCUGCACUUCCUAGAAAAUCACCGACUGCCAAGAGAUGUAAAGGACUAACAAGGAAUGUUUUAUUUCUGUGAUCAAUACCGCUAGUCCCUUCAGGCAGCAGCAACUCCCCCUGGAGGCGACUGGCAUGGAACUAGAAAGCACCCCUAGUGUGAUUCUGCCCUGAGGAAUUCAAGCCAUAUCACCCCUCUGCCCCAGCCUACCCACCAUAAAGGUAUGGGUUUUUAACAGUCUGGUGCUUCAGAUUUCAAAACAUUGGGAGGAGACGGCUCAUUGUGAAAAUCGGGUCAUUUCUUAAGCUGGACCCUGUUGGCCUGCUGUUUUCCUGGGGUCAGGACAGCACUUUUAGGUUUGCAUGUGGUGACUAUAAGUACUAGAUUCCACACCAGAAGACUUGACAGACCGAGUUUCUACCCUUAUUAAAAAAAAAGAAAAGGGGGGAAUUGCCGGGAGGACCAGGGGGAGUAGUCAGCACGUUCACUGCCAUGGCAGGGGUUCAGUCCCUGGUCAGGGAGACAGGAUCCGCAAGCUGCAUGGUGCAGCCCACCCCCCCCCCAAAAAAGAAAAAAGAAAGCCUGCCCUUUCUUUACUCCUUAUCAGUUUGGCAGCUUCUAGUUCAUAACAAUACCUGAACAUGUGCAUUUUAUGGUGUGCCGGAGUUGUAAACAUUGCUUCAUUUUUAAAAGA